rnacentral:rRNA from 1 species
GUGGCGAACGGGUGAGUAACACGUGAGUAACCUGCCCUUGACUCUGGGAUAAGCGUUGGAAACGACGUCUAAUACCGGAUACGAGCUGGGACCGCAUGGUCACCAGCUGGAAAGAACUUCGGUCAAGGAUGGACUCGCGGCCUAUCAGCUAGUUGGUGAGGUAACGGCUCACCAAGGCGACGACGGGUAGCCGGCCUGAGAGGGUGACCGGCCACACUGGGACUGAGACACGGCCCAGACUCCUACGGGAGGCAGCAGUGGGGAAUAUUGCACAAUGGGCGCAAGCCUGAUGCAGCAACGCCGCGUGAGGGACGACGGCCUUCGGGUUGUAAACCUCUUUUAGCAGGGAAGAAGCGAAAGUGACGGUACCUGCAGAAAAAGCACCGGCUAACUACGUGCCAGCAGCCGCGGUAAUACGUAGGGUGCAAGCGUUGUCCGGAAUUAUUGGGCGUAAAGAGCUCGUAGGCGGUCUGUCGCGUCUGCUGUGAAAACCCGAGGCUCAACCUCGGGCCUGCAGUGGGUACGGGCAGACUAGAGUGCGGUAGGGGAGAUUGGAAUUCCUGGUGUAGCGGUGGAAUGCGCAGAUAUCAGGAGGAGCACCGAUGGCGAAGGCAGAUCUCUGGGCCGUAACUGACGCUGAGGAGCGAAAGCGUGGGGAGCGAACAGGAUUAGAUACCCUGGUAGUCCAC